CAGAGGGUUCGAUUCUGGCUCAGGAUGAACGCUGGCGGCGUGCUUAACACAUGCAAGUCGAACGAAGCAACUUAUUACAAUCCCUUCGGGGUGACGGUUUGUUGACUGAGUGGCGGACGGGUGAGUAACGCGUGGGUAACCUGCCUUGUACAGGGGGACAACAGUUGGAAACGACUGCUAAUACCGCAUAAGCGCACAGCUUCGCAUGAAGCAGUGUGAAAAGUUUUUUCGGUACAAGAUGGACCCGCGUCUGAUUAGCUAGUUGGUGAGGUAACGGCCCACCAAGGCGACGAUCAGUAGCCGACCUGAGAGGGUGACCGGCCACAUUGGGACUGAGACACGGCCCAAACUCCUACGGGAGGCAGCAGUGGGGAAUAUUGCACAAUGGGCGAAAGCCUGAUGCAGCCGACGCCGCGUGAGCGAAGAAGUAUUUCGGUAUGUAAAGCUCUAUCAGCAGGGAAGAUAAUGACGGUACCUGACUAAGAAGCACCGGCUAAAUACGUGCCAGCCGCGGC
rnacentral:rRNA from 1 species